GGGGGUUUGGGGGUUUUCCCUCGCAUAGCUGUGGCUAUGGGGUCGGCAGUCGACUCGGGGCUGUCGGGGCGGGUGAGGGGUGUGGGCCAGGAGCUUCCAGCCCCGCCUGAAGCUCCCGCUGACAUCACAUCUAGUGGUGCACAAUCCUGAAGCACAAGUCUCUUGAGGGGCGGCUGAGGGAGCUGGGAGGGCCCAGCCUGGAAAAAAGAAGGCUCAGAAGGACCUUCCCGCUCUCUACGACCACCUGACACGAGGUUGUGGCCAGCCUUGAAGCCAGUCACUGACAAUGUCACAGCAAGGUAUCAGUUUUGAUCCUGUGCAAAGACAGAAGACACAAUACCCGUGGCAUUAAAGGAAGGAGAAGCCAAGUACUGUCUACAGACGAAUGAACUUUAAUAACAAUUUUCCAGGCUCUACAGAGACCUGAAGAGAAAUGUCUGUAGAACUGCUGUUUUAAGGUGUGUGCGCUGAAGCAAAGCUACAGAGAAGCCUGACCUACAGCAGCAGAAAUACCUAAUUCACUGCCCACAAUUAUGAAAUUCCCUUUACACAGGAAAAAAUAAUCCUAUCUUAUUAUUAGACACCACACUGUAAUGGAUGUGUUCGGGGCUGAAGGUUCCCUUACAGCAUGUCCUUUUGCUCCAAGAGUGUUUGACCUCGUAUUAGGAGUUAAUUUUCUAGGCAAAUAUUAACUAAGCCCUCUGCUUGGUAUAAGCAUGGACAGAGAUGGUUUCACACACAGGCUUGACACAGACUCAGGUUGUGCAACGCCAGGUCUGUCUUGGGAUGCUGAAGCUCUGCCAAACUCUCUGGUUCUCAUGCAAUGCAGUGGCAAGGCUCAGCUGUUCCUUACGUGCUCCCAUUGACACCCCACAAACCUGGCCAAACUCAGACCCUCUUGUCACUCCACUCAGCUGAUACACCAUGUCUAAAUACAACCACGACCUAAUUACCU